CCUAGUUGAUCUUGAUAGUAGUCAUAUGUUUGUCUCAAAGAUUAAGCUAUGCAUGUGUAAGUAUGAACUAAUUCUGACUAUGAAACUAUGAAUGGCUUAUUAAAUCAAUUAUAGUUUGUUUGAUGGUAACUACUACUUAGAUAAUCAUAGUAAUUCUAGAGCUAAUACAUGCAACAAACCUUGACUUUUUGAAAGGAUGCAUUUAUUAGAUAAAAGGUCGACAUGGUUUUUGCCUGUUACUCUUAUGAUUCAUGAUAAAUCAACAGAUCACAUAACCUUUAUGCUGGCAACACAUCAUUCAAAUUUCUACCCUAUCAACUUUUGAUGGUAGGAUAGUGGCCUAGUAUGGUGGUGAUGGGUGAUGGAAAAUUAGGUUUUGAUUAUGGAGAGGGAGCCAAAGAAAUGGUUACCACAUCCAAGGAAGGUAGCAGGCACGCAAAUUACCCAAUCUUAACACAGGGAGGUAGUGAUAAUAAAUAAUAAUACCAGGCUCUAUGAGUUUGUUAUUAGAUGAGUACAAUCUAAAUCCCUUAACGAGGAUCCAUUGGAGGGCAACUUUGUUGCCAACAGCUACAGUAAUGCUAGCUCCAAUAGCGUAUAUUUAAGUUGUUGCAAUUAAAAAGGUUAUAGUUGGAACUAAGGUUGGGUCAUCCAGUUUGCCUCAUGGUGAGCACCAAUCUACUCAGCUCUACUACUAGUGAUGCAUUCCUGGCCUUAACUAGUCAGGUCAUUCCUCUGGUGCUAUUACUUUGAAGAAAUUAGAGUGCCUAAAGCAAGCCUAUGCUUGUGUACAUUAACAUGUGAUAGCAUCAUAAGAUUCUAUUCCUAUUGUGUUGGCCUUUGAGAUUAGAGUAAUGAUUAACAUAUUCAUAUUUCAUUAUCAAAGGUGAAAUUCUUGGAUUUAUGAAAGAUGAACAAUUAUGAAAGCAUUUACCAAGGAUGUUUUCAUUAAUCAAUAAUGAAAGUUAAGGGCUUGAAGAUGAUCAAAUACCAUUCUAGUCUUAACCAUAAAUGAUGCUAACUAAGGAUCGACAGAUGUUACUUUUAGGACUCUACUGGCACCUUAUUAAAAAUCAAAGUCUUUGGGUUCCAGGGGAAGUAUGGUCACAAGGAUGAAACUUAGAGGAAUUGAAAGAAGGGUACCACCAGGAAUGAAGCUUAUGGCUUAAUUUGACUCAACAUAGGGAAACUUACUAGGUCCAGACAUAGUAAGGAUUGAUAAACUGAGACUCUUUCUUGAUUUUAUGGAUGGUGGUGCAUGGUUGUUCUUAGUUGGUGGAGCGAUUUAUUUGGUUAAUUCCAUUAACGAACAAGACCUCAGCCUAUUAACUAGCUAUGCUGACGUGAUCCUUUAUGGCUAGCUUCUUAGAGGGACUAUGGCCACUUAGGCUAAAAAAUUUUCAAGCAAUAAUAGGUCUAUGAUGCCUUAGAUGUUUUAGGCCAUAUGUGUUGCACACUGAUGUAUUCAACAAGUCUAUAGCCUUGGCCAAUAGUUUUACGUAAUCUUUGAAAUUUCAUCGUGAUGGGGAUAGAUCAUUGCUAUUGUUGGUCUUCAAUGAGGAAAUCCUAGUCAAUGCAAGUCAUUAGCUCAUGUUGACUAUGUCACUGCCUUUUGUACACACCACCAUCGCUCCUACCAAUUGAAUGGUUUAGUGAAGUGUUCAUAUCAUCAUGAUGUCAACAGUUUCUACCUACAAUGUCAUGGAAGUCCACUAGACCUUAUCAUUUAGAGGAAGGAGAAGUCAUAAUAAGAUUUUCGUAUGUGAACCUACAAAAG
rnacentral:rRNA from 1 species